CAAUCACCAUUUUUUUCAGCCUGUAGAAAUUGUCAGACAAAACACAACGUUGCCUUACUAAUACAUUUUUAAUCAAAAUCCAAAAAAAUUUAAAAGCGAAGCAUAAAACAGGCAAACAGCACAGAAACAGCUAAACAAUUGUACAAUAAACAUUUUCCAGCUAGUAUACAUUUAAACAAGCACAAAGAUGGAGAACAACGAGGCGCCCGCACCUUCCGGUUCCAAUAAUGAUUUUCCCAUACUUCCGCCGCCGCCGAAUGCCUCGUCCUCCUACAACUAUAACAACGAAAUCAACAACAACAAAAGCAACAACAAUGCCGCCCAGAAGCGCCUGCAGCAGACACAGGCCAAAGUGGACGAGGUCGUGGGCAUAAUGCGCGUCAACGUCGAGAAGGUGCUCGAACGUGACCAAAAACUAUCGGAGCUGGGCGAACGUGCCGACCAGCUGGAGCAGGGCGCCUCACAGUUCGAGCAGCAGGCCGGCAAGCUGAAGCGCAAGCAAUGGUGGGCCAACAUGAAGAUGAUGAUCAUUCUGGGCGUCAUCGCGGUCGUCUUGCUCAUCAUUAUAAUAGUGUCGCUUUACAAUUGAUAAACAAAAAACAAAAAAACAAAAACAAAAUGUAUCCACAUGCGGCAAGGCAACUUGUUGCGCUUAACUCUAAGGCAACAUAUACAAAAACGUAUACAUAUAUAUACACACACACACACAUACACACGCCCACAUACAUGUGCUGUGUGUUACAAAAAGAACAAAUUUAGUUUAAGCAAAAGUGUGCGCUUUGCCCUCAAGCAGCAGCAGCAGCAGCAACUCGGAUCAUGCCACAAAAGCCGUUACCGAGGCGCCCCAUUAGGAGCCCCAUUGCAGCUCGUCAGGAAAGAGAAACACAACGAACAGCUCUUGAAUGGCAAUACUUGCGGAGGAGUUGCUGCCUUUGCACUGGCCUUAAGCGCAACAACCAAAUUUAAAGCUGAAACUAAAACUUAAACACAAUCUGUGUCUAAAAGCAUUAAACUAAAACACUUUACAGAUUGUUAUUUAUAUAUUAAUCCUAAAUGUUAAAACACACACAGAAUUUUCACAUAUGUAUUGUAACAAAUAUUGCAACAACAACAACAAAUGUAAUUUAAAACUACGCACAUGUAUGCUGCGAGUGUUUUGUGUGUGUGUGUGUGCGUAUGUGUGCCUGAGUGUGUGUGGAUGUGGGGGUUUUCCCUUACACGGCGCACAAAUUGAAUUUAAACUUCCGUUUUAGCCCAGCUAAGAUUAAAGGCACUUUGCACAUGUAUUAAACAAUAGUUUUAACCAAAAGCCACGCACACACAUACACGCGCACGCACAGGCACAGGAACAUAUUUUAUAUGACUAUAUACAUACACACAUACAUACAUAGAUAUAUAUACAUAUAUGUGUGUAUAUAUAUAACCUUUUGUAUUUACACUUAUAUGAAAUGGCAUGUAAUUGAUAUAAUUUCGUUAUUAUUGUACUCGUAAUACAACGUACGUUUGCCAAAAAGAAUCGCGAACAUUUUGUAGAAAAGUUUACGUGAAAUAUUAUUAUUUACAUAUUU